CUGGGUAGGCGGAGUAUGCAGACUGUCUGAACAAGCGCGGGGACAGACAGGAGCUAAUAAAACGUGCUACCCUUCACUCGGGGCUAUCAGAGGCUAAGAAAACAGCGCUACCUCUGCCACUGACCUCCGGCGCUUCAAAGACACAGCGGGACUCUGGCCCAUGUAGAGCGGCCAUGGCCACGCUGGAGGGCUGCCGCUGUCGAAACAACAACAGCAUCCUCUACAGCAUUUUGAAGAGUGACAGCCUUGCGACCGCCGAGGAGCAACAACAUCAACAACAACAUCCCCAACAACAAACAUUGCAACACUUGCUCCACAAGACCUCGUCCACCGCCGCCCCAGCCUCGCUGCAGGAGCUCCGGCAGCAGGCUUGUUCCUGUGGCUCGACGCGGCGCAGAGGUAUCCUCCGCUCUCCGCAGGUGACGUGCAAAGCCGCCUCGGCGGUUCUGGUGAAGACGCUGCGGUUCGUGAAAAACGUCCCCUGUUUUCGUGAGCUGCCGGAGGACGACCAACUGACGUUGAUCCGGAGCGGCUGGGCGCCACUGCUCGUGCUGGGACUCGCGCAAGACCGGGUGGACUUUGAGACCACGGAGACCGUGGAGCCCAGCAUGCUGCAGCGCAUCCUCACGGGUUUACCGGACAGGCAGAGCGAAGUGUUGACCGGCCAGAGCAGGGGGGCAGCCGGAGUCUCUGUCGUGGAUAUCGAAGCUAUCAAAGCCUUCCUGAAGAAGUGCUGGAGUGUAGAUAUCAGUACGAAGGAGUAUGCGUAUCUGAAAGGAGCUGUGCUGUUCAACCCAGAUGUGGAGGGUUUGCGCUGUCUCCACUACAUCCAGUCUCUGCGUCGGGAGGCACACCAGGCUCUGAACGAGCACGUCAGGCUGAUCCACCGUGAGGACACGACGCGGUUCGCCAAACUGCUCAUAGCUCUGUCCAUGCUGAGGGCCAUCAGCCCGCCGGUGGUCGCGCAACUCUUCUUCAGACCCGUUAUAGGGGCCGUCAGCAUCGAGGAGGUACUCAUGGAAAUGUUCUACGGGAAGUAGGUCACAGCAGUGGACUGGGGUGAAUUCAGCACAUUCCGCUGCCAGAUGGGCUGAACGGCUCCAAAGGUCGUACUGGGUAGGAGGUUAGGGCAGAUGAAGAGAGGAUAUUAGGGACUGAAUUUACGACUACUGUUUGUGGGAGAUCUUCAAGGACUGUGAAAUGACCAACACAGGCAAAGUGUGUGUGUGUGUGUGUGUGUGUGUGUGUGUGUGUGUGUGUGUGUGUGUGUGUGUGUGUGCAUGAGAGAAAGGAAGAGUGUUGAAGGCAAGAGAUGUUAGGAAAAAUACAAAGCAGCUGAUGGAAUUAAUAACUUAUUUGUUUUUACACAAACUAUUUUUCUAUAAUAAAAAAAAUACUCUGAA